AAAUUGGAUAGGAUUGUGUCCCAAUCCACUGUUUGGUAGAGGCAAAUAAAGAAGCAGAUAACUUAACCGCUACAGUGGAAUAAUACGCCUAGAGGAGGAUUAAGCUAACCCGUCCUUCCCCCUGGCUCAGAUUUCUGUCCAAAGCUCAUCGAAAGCUCUCGUUGGUGUCUCCUGUGUAUCUCUGGCCAGAUCAAGCUCGUGGUUAAUGAGAAAUUGCCUUUUGUUCAUAUUGAGGAAGAAGGCUGAACAACGGUAAGAAGAUUCAAUUAUGGACAAAAGGCUAGCAAUAGAGCAGGUGGAGUAAUUCUAUGGGAUUAUCAUGUCAUUUGUCUUGCUGAACCAUUUUUUGAGAAAAUGAGGCAUUAUGACCUCUCUGUUUCAGGUGUUAAGUGUACUUCGACAAUUCUUAAAUUAAGGAUAUUUUAUUCUUCUCACAAUAAGUAAUUACAGUAUGUAUAUGAUUGACAGAUUUUAUAAAAUGUCGAGAUUUUGGAUUUAUUUCUUAUAAUUGAUAU